rnacentral:rRNA from 1 species
GAGUUUGAUCGUGGCUCAGAUUGAACGCUGGCGGCAUGCCUUACACAUGCAAGUCGAACGGCAGCACGGGAGCUUGCUCCUGGUGGCGAGUGGCGAACGGGUGAGUAAUGCAUCGGAACGUACCCUGGAGUGGGGGAUAACGUAGCGAAAGUUACGCUAAUACCGCAUAUUCUGUGAGCAGGAAAGCGGGGGACCUUCGGGCCUCGCGCUCUUGGAGCGGCCGAUGUCGGAUUAGCUAGUUGGUGAGGUAAAGGCUCACCAAGGCGACGAUCCGUAGCAGGUCUGAGAGGAUGAUCUGCCACACUGGAACUGAGACACGGUCCAGACUCCUACGGGAGGCAGCAGUGGGGAAUUUUGGACAAUGGGGGCAACCCUGAUCCAGCCAUGCCGCGUGAGUGAAGAAGGCCU